AUCAGAUCCUGUCAGCCUGGUCUGAGGUCACUACCCUAGGGGUUUGAGGAGAGAACCCUUGGAAUAGUUAGACAAACAGUUGCUGGAUUUAGUCAUUUUCAUUUGCUUUCUGAACAUAAAUUCAGCUAGGCAUGGUAAUCGGGUAAUCCCGUCUCCAUUGGUGGUGAAUAUCUUGCUUUGUUGCUUUCUUCUGCUGUUUUUCUUUUUCUCCCUCUCUUUCUUCUCUCCUUUCUGCUUUAGGGGAAUGGAAGAGGCGACAAGCCCCGGAGGUGAAUCCUGGAGCAGCGGCCGGCGCGGGGUGGAGCGGUCCCGGAGCAGCGGCCGGCGCCGGGGGGAAGCAGUCCCGGAGCAGCGGCUGGCAUGACGAGCCAGUCCCAGGCGGAGGCUGGCGUAGGGGAAGGAGUCCUGGAACUUACCUUGGAGCAGCUGAGAGCAGAUAUGGAGUGGAGCUUGGAGCAGACCACGGAUGGGUGUUGGUCUGGGGUGUGACGCGGGUGGUCAAACAAUGUGUGGGAGCCCCUGCGCUGAGUUGCUGUAAUGUCAAUUGUCUCAUCCCAGGAAUAUCUAAUGAACUGGUGCUGCACUGCCUCUAAUGCGAGAAUGUCUUUCUUUGCGAAAUAACACCAAAACUACACACAGAACUCCAAGAUAACAAAGUGUGGAGCUGGAUGAACACAGAGGGCCAAGCAGCAUCUUAGGAGCAGAAAAGCCGAUGUUUUGGGCCUAGACCCUUCUCUAACCAUUCCUUUUAUCUCUAUAGUGAUGAUAGUGUUACUGUUCAUAGCUAAUACCCUCCAAAAUAAGCAGCAACCUGGAAAAUCUUUUCUGUACCAUUUGCAAACACUCCACAUCCUUGCGGUAGUGUACUGACCAGAACUAGAUGCAAUAUUCUAAAUGUGGUCUAACUAAAGUUCCACACAGCUGCAACAUAACUUGCCAAUACGAAUGCUCUUUUCCCUGAAUGAUGAAGAUGUCAGUGAACUUCUUGAAUUUGUCUUUGGGAGCUGCACUCGUCCAGGCAAGUAUCAAAUAUUCUAACACACAUCUGAAGAGUCAGGAGGUGAGUUAGUAUUGCAAAAUUUCUAUCUUCUGACCAUCUGAUCUCAAAGAAUAUAUUAUGGUCACUAAGUCCUUGGUGUUCCCAUAAUCCUAUUUCUCUGCUGCAGUUCAUUCCCAAUUAGAGGGUUAGAAAGGAGUCCACUGAACAUUGUACAAACUCCAUCCUCUCAACAAUUUCAUCUACCUUAUCUAGCCAAUUUAUUUCAAGGUAAUUACACUUCUUUUAAAACAAAACUCAUUUUUGAUAACCUUGUUACAUAUUUCUUCUUGCACUUUCCACUAUUAGGGAUAGUUUCCAUGGAUAUUUCAAGGAAGCUAAACGAGAUCCCUUCAGUAGUUAAGAAACAAACUUAAUCCUUUUUUAAUUUCUAUUAACAUAAUUCAUCUAACUGGUUGUUUUAGCAUUUUCUCCACUGCAAUUACCUCUAAUAAAUUAGCUCCUGCACCUCCUAAACUCUCUAAA